AACCAGAAUUUUGUUCAUUCAAUACUGGUUUCGUUCUGUUUUUUUUCGCUACGCGUUUGGGCACAGCCCAAUCGUAAACAAACGUACGAUCCGAAUCCCUUCCGGAUGGUUUACGACGAGACCGAUCAUGGCCAAAGGUUAGCUCUAGCGCAUAUGUUGACGCAAUGGAAUAAUGAAAGACGCACAUUCGCACGCCAGUUUGCUUUCUGUCUUGAAUUGAGGCUAAUGAUCAUCACUUUCAAUUGGAAUUGCAUCCAAUUACGUUACUUUGCUGACUACAAGGAGGAUUGUUGCUAAUUGCAAAAUAUGCUCCAUUCUUUCAUUCUGAAUGUCAAAAUAUUCCAUAAAAAUGUAUUCUAAACCUAGAAAAAAAAUAAGUUCUGGUCCGAUCUCUCUCACUACAGCUUAAUAAUCAUAAAUGCUCUCGAACGAGCAACAAACAAGUGAAUCAAUGUACAUUACCGUCAUACGAUUGAAUUCAUCACUGUCCGCCUGACAGUCUAGACACUCCUCCAAAGAUGCGCGCGAUACAUGCCAAGGCUGGCACGAGAAAAACAGCUCCUCGUGGAUUGAAGCAUGCAAGCUGAAGGAUUCAGGACGGAAUGGUAGCGGCAGCUGGCUACGAUCCAGCCAUCCAAAUAAGGAAACCCCUGUCUCUAUCGGUAAACCACUGGUCUUUGCUCAUCUUGCUGUAAACCACAGGAAAGAGAGAGAGUUUAAAAACAAAACAAAACAAAAAAGACAAUUUACACCGGAAGAUAUCUAGGUUCUUGGGAAUGCUACACGAAGCGUCACUGUUGACACAGAUGUUAUACGAUGCUGCCGGUUUUAGCCAUCAUUCGAUGGAUAAGUUUAUGCCUGCCGCAGUGCUCUGGUAUGGUUUCCGUUCCGGUGCUUCCGUUCAUUUACUGUGUCUGUUUUGACGUUGCGUUCACAUUAUGGACGGGUAGUAAAAUCAAGGCCACUACUCUUGCGUAGCGUGAAAGCGUCUCAAUGCUGCUUGCCGGCGGAAGGAUAAUGUAGACCAAUAGGAUUCACCACCAUCGCGAUCAACAUGUUCACCAACAGGACGGCCACAAUCACCAUAAACAGUACGAACAGGAUCUACCAAAGUGGUGAAAAGGUGGUUAAGAAUGUACGAGACGAAUGCUUCAUUCCCUACCUUAGCACACAUCUCAUGGUC